rnacentral:rRNA from 1 species
ACUCCUGCGGGAGGCAGCAGUGGGGAAUUUUGGACAAUGGGCGAAAGCCUGAUCCAGCAAUGCCGCGUGAGUGAAGAAGGCCUUCGGGUUGUAAAGCUCUUUUGUCAGGGAAGAAACGGUGAAAGCUAAUAUCUUUUGCUAAUGACGGUACCUGAAGAAUAAGCACCGGCUAACUACGUGCCAGCAGCCGCGGUAAUACGUAGGGUGCAAGCGUUAAUCGGAAUUACUGGGCGUAAAGCGUGCGCAGGCGGUUUUGUAAGUCUGAUGUGAAAUCCCCGGGCUCAACCUGGGAAUUGCAUUGGAGACUGCAAGGCUAGAAUCUGGCAGAGGGGGGUAGAAUUCCACGUGUAGCAGUGAAAUGCGUAGAUAUGUGGAGGAACACCGAUGGCGAAGGCAGCCCCCUGGGUCAAGAUUGACGCUCAUGCACGAAAGCGUGGGGAGCAAACAGGAUUAGAAACCCGUGUAGUCCC